rnacentral:lncRNA from 1 species
CACGCGGACACACCGACACGCGGACACGCCGGGCACCCUGGCGCCUCCCAACUGUUCCCGAUAAAACGAGUCUCCUGAGGCGUGGGGAGGGGAAGGGCUGCAGAAACAGCGAGGAGCCUGGCAUGAACGCUGCGUUUGCUCCCAGGGGGAUAUUUCAUCACUACACCAGCCUGGCAGGGCACUGGAGAGAAGGACCAAAGUGUGGCUGUGUCUGCUCUUGAGGGGCUUCCAUUUUUUUUUUAAGAAUUGAAAAAUGUUAUUUAAUUAAUUUAUUUAGACUAUUUUUCCAUGGUUACAUGAUUCAUGUUCUCCCC